rnacentral:rRNA from 1 species
GGCCUAUCAGCUUGUUGGUGAGGUAAUGGCUCACCAAGGCGUCGACGGGUAGCCGGCCCGAGAGGGUGACCGGCCACACUGGGACUGAGACACGGCCCAGACUCCUACGGGAGGCAGCAGUGGGGAAUAUUGCACAAUGGGCGCAAGCCUGAUGCAGCAACGCCGCGUGAGGGAUGACGGCCUUCGGGUUGUAAACCUCUUUUAGCAGGGAAGAAGCGAAAGUGACGGUACCUGCAGAAAAAGCGCCGGCUAACUACGUGCCAGCAGCCGCGGUAAUACGUAGGGCGCAAGCGUUAUCCGGAAUUAUUGGGCGUAAAGAGCUCGUAGGCGGUUUGUCGCGUCUGCUGUGAAAUCCCGAGGCUCAACCUCGGGUCUGCAGUGGGUACGGGCAGACUAGAGUGCGGUAGGGGGGAUUGGAAUUCCUGGUGUAGCGGUGGAGUGCGCAGAUAUCAGGAGGAACACCGAUGGCGAAGGCUGAUCUCUGGGCCGUAACUGACGCUGAGGAGCGAAAGGGUGGGGAGCAAACAGGCUUAGAUACCCUGGUAGUCCACCCCGUAAACGUUGGGAACUAGUUGUGGGGUCCAUUCCACGGAUUCCGUGACGCAGCUAACGCAUUAAGUUCCCCGCCUGGGGAGUACGGCCGCAAGGCUAAAACUCAAAGGAAUUGACGGGGACCCGCA